GUCAGCCCGUUUAUCCGGAAAGCAGUGGCGUUCUCGGUACCGCUCGAUUUGCAAUCGAGCUGUGAGAAAAUCUCGCAACCGUCGAACCGGAUUUACUCGAACCGUUUCGUCCGAAGCCUCAAGAAAAAAAUUGCGACGAAAGCGCGCAUGAGAACCGAUCUCGAUACGUCAAAGCUUCGGCAAAUAAAAAUGCUCACCGAGUUCGAUGACUGUUAUACAGCGCCGAUGCAUGGGUUUCGCAACGCUCGUGAAUACUAUGCGCAGUGCAGCGCAAUCCGCUUCAUCGAAAGCAUCAAGACCCCCACCCUUAUCAUCAACACCCGCAACGAUCCGUUCCUGAGCGAGCAGUGCUUUCCUGCCGCUUUACUCAAAGGACAUGCGUUUGUUCGUCUGGAG
rnacentral:misc_RNA from 1 species